UACGUAGGGGGCAAGCGUUAUCCGGAUUUACUGGGUGUAAAGGGAGCGUAGGCGGCUAUGCAAGUCAGAUGUGAAAGCCCGGGGCUCAACCCCGGGACUGCAUUUGAAACUGCGUAGCUAGAGUGCAGGAGAGGUAAGUGGAAUUCCUAGUGUAGCGGUGAAAUGCGUAGAUAUUAGGAGGAACACCAGUGGCGAAGGCGACUUACUGGACUGAAACUGACGCUGAGGCUCGAAAGCGUGGGGAGCAAACAGG
rnacentral:rRNA from 1 species